GGAGAUAUAGCUCAGUGGUAGACUGCAUGCUUAGUAUGCAAGAGGUUUGGGGUUCAAUCCCCAGUACUUCCA
rfam:Camelus ferus unplaced genomic scaffold scaffold406, whole genome shotgun sequence.